rnacentral:pre_miRNA from 1 species
CUUCUACUCCCUCCGUUCGGAAAUAUUUGUCAUCAAAAUGAAUAAAAGGAUUGAUGACAAGUAUUUCCGGACGGAGGGAGUAGAAG